ensembl:lncRNA
CAGUGGUGGCAUCACCGCAUCCCCUUUCUUCCCCACAGGAGCAUGCUGUGGAGGCCUGGGGGCAUGAGGCUGGCAGCAGUACAGACCCAGGUGGGCCCUGGGACACCCUCUGCAUUGUAGCACCUCAGUGCGAGGUGUAUGUGAGCGUGGGCUCCACGGACAGGACUGAGUGCUGGGAUGAGAGCUGGGCAUAUCCCCUGCUCAGCCCCAGAGCAGAGGGCGAGCACAGAGAAAACAGUACCGAGCCCAGCACCGACCUCAGGACCUGUGCCGAAACCAACUCCGCACUCACCAGGGACAAGGAAAUGACCAGGCUGUUGGACAGCGUUCUGGGAUCAGGCAAGCGAGACAUGAUGAACUACACAGGCCACAAGGAAGAGGUGCGGACGCGAGCCCUGCAGGCAGACAGAGCCAGGUGGGGUCAGCCCGUUCCCUCUGCACCCUGGACAAGAACAGAGUCCCAGAGCUUUAGGAAAGAAAUCUGCCCUCUGAAAGCAGAGCGUGGUCCCACGAGCCAGAAGCCUGAGGAGAGCUGGGCAAAGCAUCGCACAGAGAACAGCUAUUUCUCCCUGGAGCGUCGGAAAUCUGACCCUUCCUGGGCUUCCUCCCCGCCACGUGCUAGCCGCAGCACCUCACCUGCCCGCAGCGACCUGCCACGCACCAGUGGGCACCUCGCUUCCUUCACCGGCUCCCUGACUCGGGAGCCCAGCGGGCGCCCCAUCAGUGGGGGCACAGAGGGGAGACACGGGCUGGAGAGGCAGGAGUACACAGCGCUGGCCGACCUGCCCAAGCCCAAACGCCUCAGCCACAGGGAGGCUUUCGAUCACAGCAGCUCCCGUACACUCAGCCCCGGCCGGGUGGAGGUGGAGCGGAUAUUUGGCUGUGAGCGCAGGUGAGAAGUGGGAUGGGUCUCCAUGCUGAUCUGGUUGGUCGGACGUGUAGG